rnacentral:hammerhead_ribozyme from 1 species
GCACUGCUGAGGAGUCCCACAAUAGGACGAAAGAGCCGUCCAGUGC